rnacentral:rRNA from 1 species
AUAGCCUUUCGAAAGAAAGAUUAAUACCCGAUGGCAUAGUUCUUCCGCAUGGUGGAACUAUUAAAGAAUUUCGGUCAUCGAUGGGGAUGCGUUCCAUUAGGUUGUUGGCGGGGUAACGGCCCACCAAGCCUUCGAUGGAUAGGGGUUCUGAGAGGAAGGUCCCCCACAUUGGAACUGAGACACGGUCCAAACUCCUACGGGAGGCAGCAGUGAGGAAUAUUGGUCAAUGGACGAGAGUCUGAACCAGCCAAGUAGCGUGAAGGAUGACUGCCCUAUGGGUUGUAAACUUCUUUUAUACGGGAAUAAAGUGAGGCACGUGUGCCUUUUUGUAUGUACCGUAUGAAUAAGGAUCGGCUAACUCCGUGCCAGCAGCCGCGGUAAUACGGAGGAUCCGAGCGUUAUCCGGAUUUAUUGGGUUUAAAGGGAGCGUAGGCGGACGCUUAAGUCAGUUGUGAAAGUUUGCGGCUCAACCGUAAAAUUGCAGUUGAUACUGGGUGUCUUGAGUACAGUAGAGGCAGGCGGAAUUCGUGGUGUAGCGGUGAAAUGCUUAGAUAUCACGAAGAACUCCGAUUGCGAAGGCAGCUUGCUGGACUGUAACUGACGCUGAUGCUCGAAAGUGUGGGUAUCAAACAGGAUUAGAUACCCUGGUAGUCCACACAGUAAACGAUGAAUACUCGCUGUUUGCGAUAUACAGUAAGCGGCC